UACGAAGGGGGCUAGUGUUGUUCGGAAUUACUGGGCGUAAAGCGCGCGCAGGCGGUCUUCCAAGUCAGUGGUGAAAGCCCGGAGCUCAACUCCGGAACUGCCAUUGAAACUGUUGGACUUGAGUAUGAGAGAGGUGAGUGGAAUUCCCAGUGUAGAGGUGAAAUUCGUAGAUAUUGGGAAGAACACCAGUGGCGAAAGCGGCUUCCUGGUCCAGCAUCGACGCUCAGGGGCGAAAGCGUGGGGAGCGAACGGG
rnacentral:rRNA from 1 species